rnacentral:rRNA from 1 species
GACAGAGGUGCCAAGCGUUAGGCGGAAUCACUGGGCUUAAAGCGUGUGUAGGCGGAUCGUUAAGUCAGAUGUGAAAGCCCCGAGCUCAACUUGGGGAACUGCAUUUGAAACUGGCGGGCUGGAGUGUGGCAGAGGGGGGUGGAAUUCCGCGUGUAGCAGUGAAAUGCGUAGAGAUGCGGAGGAACACCGAUGGCGAAGGCAGCCCCCUGGGCUGACACUGACGCUCAGGCACGAAAGCGUGGGGAGCAAACAGG